rnacentral:rRNA from 1 species
CACGUAGGGCGCAAGCGUUGUCCGGAAUUAUUGGGCGUAAAGAGCUCGUAGGCGGUCUGUUGCGUCCGCUGUGAAAACUCGGGGCUUAACCCCGAGCCUGCAGUGGAUACGGGCAGACUAGAGGUAGGUAGGGGAGAAUGGAAUUCCCGGUGUAGCGGUGAAAUGCGCAGAUAUCAGGAAGAACACCCGUGGCGAAGGCGGCUUUCUGGGACGGUACUGACGCUGAGACGCGAAAGCGUGGGGAGCGAACAGG